UCUCGGCGUGCUCUGGCCCACACCUACCGCGGUACCCACGCCGUCACCACUGCUCUCUUCCAAGAGAUACGUAUUCUUAGUUUCAUUAUUUUCUUUUGAUUGAAAUGACACUAUAUAAAAUUUUCAUUUGAGAGUUUCUCAGUUGUAUUUAGUUACAUAGCACAGUUUAGAAACUUGUCUGAGACUGACCUUAUCAGUAAUCUAACCGGCAAAGAUCAUAUCCGUGUGUAUGUGGUUAUACAUUUUUAUUUCAUUGGACUAACCCAGGACCAUUUCAGUGAUGAAAAUGGUGUGCCCUCUGGUUUAGCUGAAACAGUCCUGCACUUCUCAGAAACCUUGAAGUCUCCCAUAGUUGUAUAAAUUGGACAGUUUAGGAAUUUUAAACUUUAAAUGAUCAUUUGGUUCCUUUUCUAUUUUAUUUUUGUUAAUGCAACAGGACUUAAAUGAACUUUGAUCUUUGUUUUAAAGAUUAAAAAAAUUGUGUGUGUAUAUAUAUAUGUGUGUGUGUGUGUAUAUAUAUAUAUAUAUAUAUAUAUACACACACACACACAUAUAUAUAUAUGACUCUUGAAGACACAUAGCUUUCACUACACUACAGGAUAUGAUCUCCAUGUAGCACAUCCACAACUGCAGAUUGAUUUUCCUUGAGUGCUUUAUACUGUUGAUUACAUCUCCAUGUAGGGCUGAAAAGAAUGACCCAUGUUUAUCUCUAUAACUGUGUUGCUUUUGAUGUCGUGUUGCUGUGCACAGAAAUGUGUGCAGCGAGGUCCUGCAUAUGGUCCAGAUGAAAAGCACGGUAGCCUUGCGAGUUAAGUACUGCUUCGAUUCAUUGUUUACGCUGGAAUUUUUUCUCCCCAUGGAAUGUAAGUAAAACUUAGUGUUUGUCACCAAUAAAUAGUAAUACUAAAUUUUUUUUGUUAAUUUAUUCUUAAAUGCCACUACUGCUAGGUUGGUCCCUCCCAACCUGCCCCCUAUACUUUUUUUAUUUUUAAGAAAAAAACUUUGUAAUGCUUGUGAUUCCAUUUGGGCAAAAUUCUGAAGCUCUGAAAUAACUUUAUAUCAAACCAUUGAUCAAUAAACAGCUACUAAUGAAUUUUUGGUCCUGUCGAGCAGUAACUGAAGCAGUAAGGGAAGAUGUGAGGGCAUGGAAGCAUGGCGUGGGGGGCACUGCUGCCAGUGAGGGGCGAGUGGGUGCCCAGGUGAAGGGAGGCGCCUCUCAUCUGAACCAGACGUUGUCACCCAAAGAAAUGACCGAGAGGAGAGAGGCUUCCUGGUCACUUCCCUCAGGCGGGCUCGCGCUUGGAAGAGUGAAGGUGAGGCGUUGCAUUCUAGUCUGGCUGAGGAGUGGGGCUGGUAGUUUUCUAUUUUCUCAUUUUAGAAUAUGCUCAUAAAGGUGGUUCACUUUAAAACCAGCCUGUGGAUUGGACUGCAAGAAGCACCGAAAGUGAGCAGGUUAUGGAAAAAAUGCUACAGGGUGUAAGGGGACUCAGCAGGGCAGGGAUAAAAGCAGUGAAAGGAAAGGCAUUUUUUCCCUUUCCAAUCCUGGAUUCAGCAUUUCUGCAAGAAGCCUUGAUCCUCUUUAGUGAUAGAUGACAUUUAGAAACCAAGGUCUGGGUGCUCUGAGACCUCACUGCUAGGGGUGUGUUGUGUCUGGGCCCUCUUAGUGGACAGCUAGGAAGUGUAUCUGUGUGUAUGUAUACACAUCUGCCGAUUUGUAUAUCUACUUAAAAGCCAUGUGUUGGUCCUGAUACCUCUGGCACCUCAGGGUUCUUCACAGCCUUCCCUGCUGUGUUUUUAGCACCUUUUCCAGCAUCGAGAUUGUAGCCAAUGUCCCAGCCUUGCCAGCCACUCCCUCCACUCCUGCCCUGAGAUCUUGCUACCUCUGCCCAGCUCUCGCCUCCUUGCCUCACAGUGUGUCUGUCCAACUGGCGACCCUCCACGCUGUGAAGGGAAGAUGGAAAGGGCUGGACAGUACAGUCUUAGAAGUAAUUCAUGACUUCUAAUUGGCAGUCCAGUUGGCCCUCAUUGACAGCACUCCAAGAAGGGGAAGUUUCCUCUUUAAUAUCUGGGAUAUUGUUAGGAAGGAUCUACAGGUUUCUUUGACAGGAGGUUUUUUUGAAGGUGAUGUAUUUUGGUUGCUUUGGAAAGCUGUCCAGAUGGGAUGUCCUUGACUAUUCUUACAUUGUAAACUCUCAAACUAGUCUUGCCUCUGUGAAGGCCCUGUAGCUGUCAUCGCCUGCUGAGGACUCACUCACCUGCAGUAUCCCUGUCUCAACAGGCUUUGAGAAAGCUGCCUGGGAAUGGAGUUUGCACUAAGUUUUAUCCCAACAUGAUCUCUUAAGAGUUGCAAGAACUUUGGCUCAAAACUAGCCCUUGGGACAACAUGCAGUCCUGGUUUCCAGACUACAGGCAGAAAAACAGACAUGAAGGCACCUGAGAGGCAGUGCACAUGAAGUGGUGCCACCCAUUAUAAAGCUGAACAACCUGGAGCCCGGUGGUCCCAGAGAGGAUCAGGUAACAUUUUCCCAAGGCCCCGAGCGAGGAGCAGCCUGGUGGACGGUGGAUUGGGUGUGGAAUAAGGCUUCCGUGCUGUGAAGAGCGCCUGUAAAUAGAUCACCUCACGAAGGGCCAAGAUGCUGUAAUGUAGGUGGGUGAAUACCAACAUGUAAGUAGCGGCUCAGAGACUGCAGUGCGGUCACUGCAGAAGUCAGUACCUUCUGUUGUUCUUAGAGCCCAGAGACAGACUCUGAAGCCGCUUGCUCCCAGGCAGUUUCUAGAGUCCCACUGCUCAGGGCGGCUGAUGGAGAGGCAUUGGCCCAAUUCCUUGCUGGAGGCGUCUGGAGCCCUCCUCUCCCCCAUUCUGUCCUCCUGUCCAGCUGGCAGGGCUCUCCUCCCUGGGCUGCAGACUGUAGUCCACUUCCAGGUCUCUCCCAAGAAAACGUGUGGAGACAGAUGCCAUGAGAACAGGAGUUCAUGUCCGUCUCAGCCACGGCUGGAGGGAGUGGUUGAGUUCUGGAAGAGGCCCACGAAGGCUGUGGCUCCUCUGGGCCCUAAGCUGCCACAGCUGUCUUCCGCCUGCCACCCUUUGUUAACUUCCUAUCGUUACAAUAUGAUCCCUUCCGACUUCUGAGGCCAUGAAACCUUGGACUCUAACAGCGUUCACAGCUUGUGCCGCGCCUCUGCGUGUCUUUCUGAUGCGGUUUUUCUUGGCUUCUUCACCAGCUUGGGCGUGAGCAUCAGCUCACUGGGAGGGCUGUUGGUUGAAAGGCUGCUGGGUCCCUUUCCCAGAUGUGCUGAUGCCGUAGGUCUGGGGUCGAGAAUGUGCAUUUCUAAUAAAGUCCCAGGUGAUGUAGAUGUACUUUGAGAACAACUGUCCUCAAGCAGUAACACCCAUGAAGUUGCUAGUGACGUUUUUUCUAAUACAAAACAUAAAAUGAUACAUGCUCCUUUGGAGGGCACCCCCAAAUCCUUCGAAUCAUGUUGAGAAACGCUGCCUUUGGCUAAACAGAGGGCAGGCAGCUUUGGCCUCACUGUUUUAGGCUCUGCACUGUGCUGUCCCAGCCCAGAGUCAGUCUGUCCUGGGGACUGAAGGCAGUGUCCUCAACAGCCUGUUAGGAGGAUGGGGGUUUGGAAUGCUCAACCUGCAGCCGCUGGCUUAGCUCGUUGCCGCCACCCUGGUUCUCCUUGGGAAGGUUUCUCUGCAGGCACCAUCGCAGAGACUUCUUCCAGCCUGAGAUCUACAGUCACGACGGAGGCAGCCCUCUGCGUGGGGCUGGCUCCAGCUCAACUUUGGCUCUCAGGAGUGGGACUGUACGGCCUGCCUAGGACACUAAGCCCUGCUCUGUCUGAGAGUGGCAGGACCUGGUGGGUGCUAGGUUCCUCCCCACUGCCCUGCGGACCCACGAGGAGACAGUUUAGGAUCUGUCUUCGCAGCUGACGUCUGCUGAGAAAUCCUCUCUAGACUCAGGAGGAUUGACCCUUGACUGCUUGCCAAGGAGAUGGACCAUCUUUCCGACGUAAGGUAAACAAACCUCUCAUUUUGCUUUCCGCUUCUCCUCCGGUCAUCCUCCUUUUGCAUCAGGUCUGAGAAACUUCCCCCUGACCUGUCUGCGGUGGCUCUUUCUUCCACGUUGUCAAGUUUUUCUCUCACGUCAUCCACAUUAUAAGGGAGAAAGUUGACUUCUCCAACCACAUGUGAGCUUUUGAAAAAGUCUUUAUUACCUGUCAUGCAGGAACCCCAGAGAAAGGUUGGUGGAUGAUGGUGGUUCUUCAUAGUGUUUACCUCACAGUCACGCCCUUAUUAACUGAUUACCUGUUACUAACUUUUGCAAAGCCAUGGUAUAGUGGCCAAGUCCUGUGCUCCGGACGCCAUGAUGCCUGGGUCUGAAUCCCAGUUCCACCCAGCUGUGCAAGCUGGUAAGUUCCUCCACCUCUCAGGAAAGAAGGAUUUGGACCUGUCACGUUCUCAGACCGAAGACUCACAUCUGGUUCCAUGAAACACUGGAAGAGGGAGGCUCAGCUGGGAGUCCUAGCAAUUAACCUAAAGAAGCUGCAUGGCCCACGAGAGCCAGUGAGCUGUAAAAAGAACAUCUCAGAGAAGAGUGGAAGCGUUCCCAUGUAACACUCAGAAUGAAGAAAGCUUAUGAAAACCAGUCAGGAUCCGAAUGUAUCACAAGAUAAAAUGGGGCAUGGUUUGCUCUGAGCAACUGACAGAAUAUGAGGGCAAAGCCCAAUCCAUUUGACCUUGACUCUAAGAACAUUCUCUUUUGAUGGAUGCAAGAGUCAAACCUUGAGAGGAAGAAAUAUAAUCUCUACACGCUGCCCAGCUCCAGCUCUGAAUACUAUUCACACCAUUGUAACAGCUCACAUACUGUUUAUCUGUUCUCACCUUUUAAAAGAUACCUACAGAUGAAGCACACAAAAGGACCACUGCACAGGAUGAAAAGCCAUCUGCUGUGACAGCGUGAAAAUGAAGGCAGAGGUGGACGGUGGGAGACGUCCUGGUAUCAGUACAGAGGACCCGACACGAGGGCCACAGUUGAUGGGACUACAGUUAGGGUUAUUAUUAAAGAUGAAGAGAACUGUAAAAGGUAGGCUGGAAGUAAGCGGUGUGAGCCAAGUUCUGAUUUGUCAUGGCGGGGAGUUAUGAAGUCUUACAGUGGAUGUAUCAAGAAGAUGAAGAAUUAAGUGGUAAAGAAUUAAGAUUAUAGGCAGUACUAGUUGAAAGGUGUUGCCUCUGGGAGGGCAGAGACUUGUUGCUCAGAUACAAGCCCUAUUUACUAAUUAAUUAGACUUUUACCACACGCAGCUAAUAGUCUGACUGAAUGCCACAUUCAUUAUGCCCCACAAAUAAAUGAAAUAACGAAGUAAGGCCCAGUGUGGGUAGGGGUGUGCUACAGAAAUUGGCACAACCUGGCCCAGUAAUUCCACCUUCAGGAAACAGACGUAGACAAAUAUUGGCAUAUUAUUUAUAAAAUAAAAAAUCUCUACAUGUCCAACAGUGACUGUAUAAUUUGGUAGUGGUAUAUCCAAAUGAUAAACACGAUACAUAACCACUGAAAAAUAUUAUUUGCCGGCUUCCCUGGUGGUGCAGUGGUUGGGAGUCCGCCUGCCGAUGCAGG